rnacentral:rRNA from 1 species
AGCUCCAAGAGCGUAUAUUAAAGUUGUUGCAGUUAAAAAGCUCGUAGUUGGAUUUCUGGUAUAAUGCGCCUGGCCCGCGACGGUUACGUCUGUGAGUGCCGGUGCGCGUUUGCCAUCCUUCUAGAAAACGUUUCUACCCUUCGUUGGGCCGGACUCGCGAUCUAGAUCUUUUACUUUGAAAAAAUUAGAGUGUUUAAAGCAGGCCUUUGCUAUGAAUACAUUAGCAUGGAAUAAUAAUCUAGGACUUCGGUUCUAUUUUGUUGGUUUCUAGUACUGAAGUAAUGAUUGAUAGGGAUAGUUGGGGGUGCUAGUAUUGGCCGGCCAGAGGUGAAAUUCUUGGAUUCGGUCAAGACUAACUUAUGCGAAAGCAUUCACCAAGGAUGUCUUCU